AUACGGAGGGCGCGAGCGUUAUUCGGAAUUAUUGGGCGUAAAGCGCGUGUAGGCGGCUGGGAAAGUCGGAUGUGAAAGCCCGGGGCUCAACCCCGGAAUUGCAUACGAAACUUCCCAGCUAGAGUCUCGGAGAGGAGGGCGGAAUUCCCGGUGUAGAGGUGAAAUUCGUAGAUAUUGGGAGGAAUACCAGCGGCGAAGGCGGCCUUCUGGACGGUGACUGACGCUGAGACGCGAAAGCGUGGGGAGCAAACAGGAUUAGAUACCCCAGUAGUCC
rnacentral:rRNA from 1 species